UACGUAGGGGGCAAGCGUUGUCCGGAUUUAUUGGGCGUAAAGAGCGUGUAGGCGGCUGGGUAGGUCCGUUGUGAAAACUCGAGGCUCAACCUCGAGACGCCGAUGGAAACCCUCCAGCUAGAGUCCGGAAGAGGAGAGUGGAAUUCCUGGUGUAGCGGUGAAAUGCGCAGAUAUCAGGAAGAACACCCGUGGCUAGGGCGGCUCUCUAGUACGGUACUGACGCUGAGACGCGAAAGCGUGGGGAGCAAACAGG
rnacentral:rRNA from 1 species